rnacentral:rRNA from 1 species
AGGAUGAACGCUGGCGGCGUGCCUAAAACAUGCAAGUCAUACGGGCUACCUUCGGGUAGCCAGUGGCAAACGGGUGAGUAACACGUGGGAACGCGCCUUGGGGUGGGGAAUAACGCUGAGAAAUCAGUGCUAAUACCGCAUAUGGUCUAACGACUAAAGCAGCAAUGCGCCCCGAGAGCGGCCCGCGACCGAUUAGCUAGUUGGUGGGGUAAUGGCCUACCAAGGCGGUGAUCGGUAGCUGGUCUGAGAGGAUGGUCAGCCACACCUGGGACUGCGAACGGCCCAGACUCCUACGGGAGGCAGCAGUUAGGAAUUUUCGGCAAUGGACGAAAGUCUGACCGAGCGACGCCGCGUGGAGGAUGACGCCUUUCGGGGUGUAAACUCCUUUUCUGCGGGAAGAUAAUGACGGUACCGCAGGAAUAAGCACCGGCUAACUACGUGCCAGCAGCCGC